UAAAACAUAUCAGUUUCUAUUAUCAAUUUUUAUUGCUAGCGGAAAAUAACAUAAUAGUAAAAAUAAAAAUAUGAAUAGUUAGAGAUAAAUAUAAAUAUAUGAUUAACUCAUACUCCAUUAUUUAUGUAUAUGUUUAAUCGCAACAAAAAAUUAUAUGUAUUUAUUACAUAUAAAUAAUACAUAUGAAAUUCACUCUACCAUGCCAAUCUUUAGAAUCCAUUCAAUUUUCGUGGUAAUCGGAGAUCCCAAAAACCGUUGAUAAACGCCGGAGUUCCCAAAAACAGUUAAAAAAUCGCCGGAGAUCUCAAAACUGUUAACUAAAAUUUGCUAUUUGAAACUUAAAUUCUUAACCAUACCCCAAAUUAAUGGAAAUUAGAGCUUCAUAAAAGAUGUAAUUAUCAUAAAAGAAAAUUAGAUCUAUAAAUAGAUAUACACACCUUUAAUCUUUUAAUACAGUGUACACAGAAGAAGAAGAAGGAACUCCCUUUUCGGUAGAAUUGAAUGGGGGCGGUGGCUGCUGGAGCAGCUGGUACUUUAUUAAGCCAUUUUCCAUCUUGUAUCCACUUAUAUGAUGAUUUCACAAACUGUAAAAUGUGUGGAUAUUAUUAAUAACAUUACCAUUUCUCUCUCUCUCUGCUCAGUCCUCAAGCUCACCUUUUUUGAAUUGUAGACCUAAUCUGGUAGAGGUGGUGGGGCCAUUACUAUUCAAAAUUAGCAAUAAACUACACAAGACAGCAAACUUU
rnacentral:lncRNA from 1 species